AGUGAACGCUGGCGGCGUGCCUAAUACAUGCAAGUCGAACGGAGUGGCGCACGGGUGAGUAAUAUAUAGCUAAUCUGCCCCUUGCUGGAGGACAACAGUUAGAAAUGACUGCUAAUACUCCAUAGCAAGGGAUGAGACUAUAUCGUAUCAGCUAGUCGGUGGGGUAACGGCCUACCGAGGCUAUGACGCGUAACUGGUCUGAGAGGAUGAGCAGUGACCUUGGAGCUGGGACUCGGUGCAAACUCCUGCGGGAGGCAGCAGUAGGGAAUAUUGCGCAAUGGGGGCAACCCUGACGCAGCAACGCCGGGUGGAGGAUGACACUUUUCGGGGCGGAAACUCCUUUUGUUAGGGAAGCGGUACCUAACGAAUAAGCACCGGCAAACUCCGGGCCAGCGGCGGCGGAAAUA
rnacentral:rRNA from 1 species